rnacentral:rRNA from 1 species
AACGAACGCUGGCGGCAGGCCUAACACAUGCAAGUCGAGCGCCCCGCCAGGGGAGCGGCGGACGGGUGAGUACCGCGUGGGAAUAUGCCCUUUGCUACGGAAUAGUCUCGGGAAACUGGGGGUAAUACCGUAUACGCCCUUUGGGGGAAAGAUUUAUCGGCGAAGGAUUAGCCCGCGUUGGAUUAGGUAGUUGGUGGGGUAAUGGCCUACCAAGCCGACGAUCCAUAGCUGGUUUGAGAGGAUGAUCAGCCACACUGGGACUGAGACACGGCCCAGACUCCUACGGGAGGCAGCAGUGGGGAAUCUUAGACAAUGGGGGCAACCCUGAUCUAGCCAUGCCGCGUGAGUGAUGAAGGCCUUAGGGUUGUAAAGCUCUUUCAGCUGGGAAGAUAAUGACGGUACCAGCAGAAGAAGCCCCGGCUAACUCCGUG